GACGAACGCUGGCGGCGUGCUUAACACAUGCAAGUCGAACGGAAAGGCCUGCUUUCCCUUGUGGAUUGCGGGUACUCGAGUGGCGAACGGGUGAGUAACACGUGAGUGAUCUGCCCCCAACUUGGGUAUAAGCCUGGGAAACUGGGUCUAAUUCCCGAUAGGACUGCAGGGUGGUGCCUGUGGUGGAAAACGAUUUUCUAGUGGUUGGGGAUGAGCUCGCGGCCUAUCAGCUUGUUGGUGGGGUAAUGGCCUACCAAGGCGGCGACGGGUAGCCGGCCGGGGAGGGUGGACGGCCACAUUGGGACUGAGAUACGGCCCAGACUCCUACGGGAGGCAGCAGUGGGGAAUAUUGCACAAUGGGCGGAAGCCUGAUGCAGCGACGCCGCGUGGGGGAUGACGGCCUUCGGGUGGUAAACUCCUUUCGACCGCGAGGAAGCCACCUGGUUGGAAGGGUGGUGACGGUAGUGGUAGAAGAAGCACCGGCUAACUACGUG
rnacentral:rRNA from 1 species